UUUAGUUUAAAUCUCAGAAAAUACAAAAAAAUAUAGAUUUGUUUCUGAUUCUGUCCUUCCGAUUUCAAUUUUAGUUUUCAGAAAUGGAGUUUGUUUGAGAUCGUUUUGGGUUUUCAGUUUUUCGGUGCCAAUUCAGGUUUCUGUCCGUGUUCAUUUUUGAGGUUCCUGUCGAUUUAGAUGUUGUUUCAAGUUUAAGGGCCGAGUUUGGUUCCCG
rnacentral:lncRNA from 1 species